UUGGUUUAGGCUGCUUAUACUUCCUCCAUAAACAUAAACACCUCCCGACUGCAUUAUUAAGUUGAAAGAAGCAGCUUGUUGACAGUGCAUUGUAAAGUUUGAAGGCAGAAUAUGAAAGAAUGGCAUGUAAUUCCUUCUCCAUAGACUUGAUGCUGAGCUGGGUGAAAAGACUUCAGUGCACAAAUGUCGGCUGCCAGUGAGUCUGCUGUGUUAGGAACUGGGAGAAAAAACAAUCGUCUAACAGGACAGCUGAUGAAUUUUCAAGAUCAUUCAUGUGAGGGCAAGACUGCCAGUUCAAAAGGACAUUAGCCAAGUACUGAAGGAACUUGGUGAUGGACGGUGAUUAUGAACCUUUCAGAGCCUAUCCUGAUUCAACCCCUCUUAUCAAUGCAGAGUCAAAAGAAUGUUUUAUCUGUCGGGAAGGAGACGAGAUGGGCCGUGACGCUCUGCUGCACUUCUGUGACUGCAAAAACUUGAUUGCUCACCAGAAAUGUCUUUUAACUUGGAUACAAAAGGGUCUUCAGAAUGAAAGUACUCCGAAAUGCAAAGUGUGCACUGCUGAG
rnacentral:lncRNA from 1 species